UUCCUCAAGUCUUCACCCCAUUUGCAAAACAUCCUGAAAAUGGCAAGGAAACUGCAUGCACUUCAGCCACUCAGCUUGCUCUUUCUGAGUGUUGCUGUGUAAGAGGGGGCGUGAAAGAGGAGUUUCAAAAACUGUGAUUAUCUGUUGUGCGGAGUGAAUCUGUGGAGUGGGUGCGACUGCCUAUAGCCCACAUUCAUAUUUUGGGGGGAGGAGGAGUAGAUUGGGCACAGGUGUAUAAAUCUUAGCUUGGGACUCUUAUUGAGAGCUUGCUCUUUCUGAGUGUUGCUGUGUAAGAGGGGGCGUGAAAGAGGAGUUUCAAAAACUGUGAUUAUCUGUUGUGCGGAGUGAAUCUGUGGAGUGGGUGCGACUGCCUAUAGCCCACAUUCAUAUUUUGGGGGGAGGAGGAGUAGAUUGGGCACAGGUGUAUAAAUCUUAGCUUGGGACUCUUAUUGAGAGCUUGCUCUUUCUGAGUGUUGCUGUGUAAGAGGGGGCGUGAAAGAGGAGUUUCAAAAACUGUGAUUAUCUGUUGUGCGGAGUGAAUCUGUGGAGUGGGUGCGACUGCCUAUAGCCCACAUUCAUAUUUUGGGGGGAGGAGGAGUAGAUUGGGCACAGGUGUAUAAAUCUUAGCUUGGGACUCUUAUUGAGAGCUUG